UUUAAUGGCGUUCUCUGAUGAGAUUCAUUGGCUAUAGCUGAACAUCUCUACACAGGGAAUAUGCACGUGUCCAAGUUUAGUUCGUUCCUUAUUUUUCAUCAAAGUAGAGGGAUGGUUGACCAUGAAGGUACGGUGUGCAGGCUGGAGCUAAUUUGGAGUCAUUGAAGAUAUGUCAUUCUAAAGCGCAAAAAACAUUAGCAGCAUUAAUUUACAGGUUCAAAAUUUUAUUUUAUUUUAAUUAUUCUGAUAUUUUUAUUUAUAAAUAUGUAAAACAGAAAAAUAAAUUUUAUGAUUUUUUCCAAUGAAGGUUUCAACCUGAAAUUUUAAAAGAAAACGUUUAGGUUUUGACUUUCUAAAUUAAAUCUACAACGUCAAGAGAUCCCA